rnacentral:rRNA from 1 species
UGGGGAAUAUUGGGCAAUGGGCGAAAGCCUGAUCCAGCCAUGCCGCGUGAGUGACGAAGGCCUUAGGGUUGUAAAACUCUUUCGUCGGGGACGAUAAUGACGGUACCCGAAGAAGAAGCUCCGGCUAACUUCGUGCCAGCAGCCGCGGUAAUACGAAGGGAGCUAGCGUUGUUCGGAAUCACUGGGCGUAAAGCGCACGUAGGCGGAUAGUUAAGUCAGGGGUGAAAUCCUGGGGCUCAACCCCAGAACUGCCUUUGAUACUGGCUGUCUCGAGGUCGAGAGAGGUUGGUGGAAUUCCUAGUGUAGAGGUGAAAUUCGUAGAUAUUAGGAAGAACACCAGUGGCGAAGGCGGCCAACUGGCUCGAUACUGACGCUGAGGUGCGAAAGCGUGGGGAGCAAACAGGAUUAGAUACCCUUGUAGUCCCUGAGCGGGCUGGCAAGGCGCAU